rfam:Lactobacillus fructivorans strain DmCS_002 contig9, whole genome shotgun sequence.
GGGGGCGUUAUGGAUUCGACGGGUAUAGUUUGAGCCUGAAUUGCAUUCCGUACGACGAUGCGUCAAAUCGCUCAGUUUAAUUAUAACUGCAAAAAAUAAUAACAAUUCUUACGCCGUAGCUGCCUAAUAAGCGCUUGACGUAGAUCUAGCUGAUUUUUCCUAUGGAUCAGUCCUAGGUCCUACCUUUAAUAGGAUACGCUUACUGCUCCCAUCUGAAGUAGUAUGAAGAGAUUAAUCAGAUUAGCUGUGCAUGCUAGCAUUGACUAAUUGCGGAUUGUACAGUGAAAUUCAAAUGAUUAGCCUACGAAUGUAGACGUUCAGGAGGCAAUAUGCCCGGACGCGGGUUCAAAUCCCGCCGCCUCCAUAA